rnacentral:rRNA from 1 species
UACGGAGGGUGCAAGCGUUAUCCGGAUUCACUGGGUUUAAAGGGUGCGUAGGAGGGCAGGUAAGUCAGUGGUGAAAUCUUCGAGCUUAACUCGGAAACUGCCGUUGAUACUAUCUGUCUUGAAUAUUGUGGAGGUGAGCGGAAUAUGUCAUGUAGCGGUGAAAUGCUUAGAUAUGACAUAGAACACCAAUUGCGAAGGCAGCUCGCUACACAUAUAUUGACUCUGAUGCACGAAAGCGUGGGGAUCAAACAGG